GACGAACGCUGGCGGCGUGCUUAACACAUGCAAGUCGAACGGAAAGGCCCUGCUUGCAGGGUACUCGAGUGGCGAACGGGUGAGUAACACGUGGGUGAUCUGCCCUGCACUUCGGGAUAAGCCUGGGAAACUGGGUCUAUUACCGGAAAGGAGCCAUUUUUAGUGUGAUGGUUGGAAAGAUUUUUCGGUGUAGGAUGAGCUCGCGGCCUAUCAGCUUGUUGGUGGGGUAAUGGCCUACCAAGGCGGCGACGGGUAGCCGGCCUGAGAGGGUGGACGGCCACAUUGGGACUGAGAGACGGCCCAGACGCCUACGGGAGGCAGCUGUGGGGAAUAUUGCACAAUGGGCGCAAGCCUGAUGCAGCGACGCCGCGGGGGGGAUGACGGCCUUCGGGUGGUAAACGCCUUUCGCUAGGGACGAAGCUUGUUUUGACGGUACCUAGAGAAGAAGCACCGGCUAACUACGUG
rnacentral:rRNA from 1 species